GACGAACGCUGGCGGCGUGCUUAACACAUGCAAGUCUAACGGAAAGGCCCUGCUUUUGUGGGGUGCUCGAGUGGCGAACGGGUGAGUAACACGUGAGUAACCUGCCCUUGACUUUGGGAUAACUUCAGGAAACUGGGGCUAAUACCGGAUAGGAGCUCCUGCUGCAUGGUGGGGGUUGGAAAGUUUCGGCGGUUGGGGAUGGACUCGCGGCUUAUCAGCUUGUUGGUGGGGUAGUGGCUUACCAAGGCUUUGACGGGUAGCCGGCCUGAGAGGGUGACCGGCCACAUUGGGACUGAGAUACGGCCCAGACUCCUACGGGAGGCAGCAGUGGGGAAUAUUGCACAAUGGGCGGAAGCCUGAUGCAGCAACGCCGCGUGCGGGAUGACGGCCUUCGGGUUGUAAACCGCUUUCGCCUGUGACGAAGCGUGAGUGACGGUAAUGGGUAAAGAAGCACCGGCUAACUACGUGCCAGCAGCCGCGGUGAUACGUAGGGUGCGAGCGUUGUCCGGAUUUAUUGGGCGUAAAGGGCUCGUAGGUGGUUGAUCGCGUCGGAAGUGUAAUCUUGGGGCUUAACCCUGAGCGUGCUUUCGAUACGGGUUGACUUGAGGAAGGUAGGGGAGAAUGGAAUUCCUGGUGGAGCGGUGGAAUGCGCAGAUAUCAGGAGGAACACCAGUGGCGAAGGCGGUUCUCUGGGCCUUUCCUGACGCUGAGGAGCGAAAGCGUGGGGAGCGAACAGGCUUAGAUACCCUGGUAGUCCACGCUGUAAACGGUGGGUACUAGGUGUGGGGUCCAUUCCACGGGUUCCGUGCCGUAGCUAACGCUUUAAGUACCCCGCCUGGGGAGUACGGCCGCAAGGCUAAAACUCAAAGGAAUUGACGGGGCCCCGCACAAGCGGCGGAGCAUGCGGAUUAAUUCGAUGCAACGCGUAGAACCUUACCUGGGUUUGACAUGGAUCGGGAGUGCUCAGAGAUGGGUGUGCCUCUUUUGGGGUCGGUUCACAGGUGGUGCAUGGCUGUCGUCAGCUCGUGUCGUGAGAUGUUGGGUUAAGUCCCGCAACGAGCGCAACCCUUGUUCACUGUUGCCAGCACGUUAUGGUGGGGACUCAGUGGAGACCGCCGGGGUCAACUCGGAGGAAGGUGGGGAUGACGUCAAGUCAUCAUGCCCCUUAUGUCCAGGGCUUCACGCAUGCUACAAUGGCUGGUACAGAGAGUGGCGAGCCUGUGAGGGUGAGCGAAUCUCGGAAAGCCGGUCUCAGUUCGGAUUGGGGUCUGCAACUCGACCUCAUGAAGUCGGAGUCGCUAGUAAUCGCAGAUCAGCAACGCUGCGGUGAAUACGUUCCCGGG
rnacentral:rRNA from 1 species